rnacentral:rRNA from 1 species
CGCUGGCGGUGUGCUUCACACAUGCAAGUCGAACGAGGUAGCAAUACCUAGUGGCGACGGGUGAGUAACGCGUGGGAAUCUGCCUUUAGAUGGGGGAUAACGGGUCGAAAGACUCGCUAAUACCGCAUAUGACGAAAGUUGAAAGGAGUAAUCCGUCUAAAGAUGAGCCCGCGUCCGAUUAGCUAGUUGGUAGAGUAAAAGCCUACCAAGGCGACGAUCGGUAGCUGGUCUGAGAGGAUGAUCAGCCACAAUGGGACUGAGACACGGCCCAUACUCCUACGGGAGGCAGCAGUGGGAAUUUUACGCAAUGGGCGAAAGCCUGACGUAGCGACACCGCGUGAGCGAAGAAGCCCCUUGGGGUGUAAAGCUCUGUCAGCUGGAACGAAAAAAUGACGGUACCAGCAGAGGAAGCAUCGGCUAACUACGUG